UACAAACAGAUUAGAGAGAGGUGA
rnacentral:siRNA from 1 species